AUAAGUUAUAAAACAUAAGGAUAGGAGAAGAAGAAAGAGAUGGAGCUAGAGAUUUUUAGAGAAGAAUGAUAAAGAAAAUCAAGAGGAGUUUGUAGCAAUUGAGAGAAUCGAUUAUAAGGGCAUCAUGAAUUGGAUUUCAAUUGAUGGAGAGGAAACUUGUGAGACCAGGGAAGAAUAGUAGCUGGAAAUUUGUAAAUGAAUGAUCAUUUGGAGCUGCAGCUGCUUUGAUUUCUCUCAUGUAUGGGAGCAGGAUACAGCACCAGAAAGAGUGGUGUUGAUAUAUCAUCUAUGGAAGUGCCCGUUAAGGGUGAAGGUAUUUGGUAAAUCACUACAAGAAUACGAGCUGAACUCCCAGAGAACAACACUUAGUCUCAUAACCUUCAGCAGACAGAUAUUGAAUCACAGCAAACACAUCAAAGAUAAGUAUUCCUUGAUCUUUACUUGUAUAUGUGACUUCAGUUACCUAUGAUUCAAUUGCUUAAUGGAAACUGUUUGAUUUAUUGCUCGAACUUACUUAAACGCUCUCUGCAUUCUGCAACCUUUAAAUUUCGCUUGAUAUAUGACACCUAAUUGAAACAAUCAAUUUGCUUGCACUCUUAGUAAGCUUCACGCUGGUUGAAAACCAGCAUCAGCGGACUCGAUAAUAAUUCUUAACUUUCCUUUUUGUUUUCUCUUCUUUUAUGGUUCACCAUCAUUUGGUAAUUGCCCCAUAAUCUGAAUGUUGCCUUAUGUUUUAGCAAAUUUGUAAUAUGAAUUGUUUUAUCGCCAAAUCUAAGAAGCGCCUUAUGCCAGCUUAUGCAUUAACUAUUUGAUGACAGUCCUUACCCUGAUGUUCUCACCCUGGCAUCCUAAGAUACAUUAUUGUUAAUCCUCUUUAAAUUGUAUGCUUGUAUCGGUUCGAUUUAAGCACAUUUGAGCAUGCCCGGAGUUCAAUCAGUUUAUCUUUGGAUUAUACAGCUUAACAAUGUUAAAUAUCCUUAUAAUGAUGAGCAUGAGCGUAACUGUCUCACUUUAGUGAAAAACAUGUUUAAAUCAUAAAGCAUGAGCUUGCUUAGCUAGGUACAACUGUUGCAUGUGGAUAAAACACCUGAAUAAUGAACCAUAUGAUUAAAAUUUGCUCAACUAGCAUCUGCCAUGUAUAUCUUGCUUGAAUAACACAAAUCUGCUUUAUAUAUAUCAUACAUUAUGAGCUGGUCUAUUGCUUCUAAUUGCAUCUGAGUGACGUUUAAUGUUAUACCUCAUGAACUUGAUCUGAGAUCUUUAAGCCUGAAUUGAUUUACAUAACUAUCUAUGCUAGCAAUGUAAGAUCUAUUGAGCUGUGUACUUAGAUGAAAUGAAUCGAGCUAAAUAAGCAUUUAAAAUAUCUCUUUCAAAAGGCAUGAUAAUCUGUUUACAUUAUUAUACAUGAAUCCUAGUCGAUCUAUAAGCAUGCAAUUGAAGUGAUAUAGCUUAACUGAAACCUUGUAGCCCCUGAGACACCUAUCUGAGCGGAACUGAUCAAACAUAAUUUUAUAAACUUACAAUGUUAAACUUUAAUUUGUCACCUAUGAGCCGAUUUAUGAAUUUAUCUGUCACUUAUACGAACUGACGAGUUUUAAUGAUCUUGCUCUGUAUACAAGAAAAAAGCAUGAACUUACGAUAAAUCUGUUGUCGGUGUGACAUGGAAACCGCGUUACACAGCUGUAAUCCUGGGGAAGUGGAAGUAGUCCUGGUUACAACCCUUUUGGAUCUUUGGUAAAUUUGGUUAAGAGGAAUGGAACUUUAAAAAACAGCUUUACUUUGAAUUUUGAAUAUUGAUUUGUGGCAGUAGCAACCAAAAGCGUAAAGACUACAGACUUUUAUGAACUUACAAUAAACCUGUUGAGCAUCAUAUAGAGCUUCUCAUAUGCAUGAUAGUUUUAAUGACCUUGUUCUAUAUACAAGAAAAGGGCAUGAAUUGCUUAUUGACAUGAAUGAUUUUGAACAUUCCUGAGUUCGAAUAAUGCAUAUAAAAACAACUCUUGAGGAGUAUAGAAUGAUUAUCAGAUAUGUCUGAUAAGGUAAAAUCCUCGAUUCAUUCUUCUAGUAUUUCAAUUUUCUAUGAAUAUUAUUGCCUAACAAUGUAUUUCAAAUGUUGUAGACCUCUGAGUAGCACAGACAAAAUGUACUUGCUUAAAUUAUCUGUGUACAACCUUUUGAGUUUUCAGUCUCAGAAACCUAAGGGUCUGUUUGGCAGCUUGGAAACGGAACAACAUAUCAUAAGUAGAGAUAUCCUUUAUCUGACUA